CGCUCUGUAUCCGGAAGCUUGUACACUGCUUUGCUCAGGUGGUUCUCCUAGUGACUGAUCGGUCUGAUUUCAAAAAAUCAACAAAAGCUGCAAGACAGAGAAAAUGUUGGCAACAGGCAUCUUGUGCAGAGAACAAAUUUAAGGAUGCAGGUUUGGAGCCUCCAUCAGACGGCCAGAGUUUGAAAAUUAGCAAACCGGACGGGAGAAUAAAAGUGCACAAACUAUUUUGGGGGAUGCUCGAAUUCUGAAUUUAAAAGGAGAAAGUACUGGAAACACACUCAGCAGAGUGAAUCGAAUUUCUGAAGAUUGACAUCUGUGAUAAUGAGGACCUCAUGAAGAGGAAAGUUGCUUUUGCCAGAGAUGAGCUGAAUGGUACCUCUUUACACUCAUGAAUAUAGUAAUGUUCUCUUUCCAUUGCAGUUAAGAAGACAGCACAAGAGAGGGAGGAGAUGGUGGCCUAGUGGUAUCAUCGCUGGACCAAUAAUCCAGAGAUCCAGUGAAUAAUACAGUAAAAUACAGUGAAAAGCUUGAACUGUUGCCACAAUCUGGCGCCAUUUGGAUAGUUUAAGGAUAAAAAGAUAUAACAGAGAGUCUAUCUUCGCUCUGCUGCCUCCACCACGAGUCUUCAGUCAGCCCACCAGCGACAUGACACCUGCGCCACCACCCCUCCUCCACCGCCGUCGGCUCUGGACCCACCAUCGUAGGAGUCUCCGCUCUUUAGGCGCCAGCUCUUUGCCACUUGGCCUAUCUCACUGACAGUAUCACUGAGUCCCAUGGUGGACCCACACGCGCCCUGCUACCAGCUGCCACCAUCGCUUCGCUGGUAACCAGGAGUCUGCGCUCUCGACCUACUGUGACUUCAAUCAGGAGUCCCUAGCUCUGCUGCCGCCUCGAAGAUGCCAGGAGUCCUGCUCUGGGCACACCACCCCGUUGCCACUGCAGCCACCACCUCCAAUGCCAGGAGCCCCCACUCUUGCCCAACUACAACCAGGAGUCCCUGGCUCUGCUGCCAGGCCAAGCCAGGCCACCACAGCACCAAGGUCCCACUCCAGCCGCCCUCCUCCGAGACAUUGUCUUGCUGUCACCGCCAUCUCGAAGACUCUGCUGCUCUUGCCACCGCUGCCUCUGAUGGCUGCAAGAGCUUUGCUGUCUCCGCUGGGAGGACGUCCAGGCUGCUUCUGCCACCACCUCCAAUUGCCAGGAAGUGCCAUAUCCAUUUCCGACCGCCAGGAGGCUGCUGCCAAUCCACGCAUGGCCCGCUCUCACUGCCGCACUGAUGCCGCCAAUUAACCCACCAAAGAAAAGAAAAAUGAAAGAAAAAAAGAAAGAGAAAGAACAGAAGUAAAAAGAAAAGAAAGAAAGCAGAUGAGCACCAGGCAAGAGCCUGCACGCAGCUCUGCCACCCUGCAACCAUCUUGGAAUCAAGGAAAUUGCUUUGUGGAACCUUUGUUUCAUCUCUAAGCCUCUGGGUGACUGUCACCUUAAUUCUCCAACCUUUUCUCCAACCCAUCUUUCUCAAGUUUCUGCAUUGUUCCAUUGAAAAUCAAUGGAAACUCAAGGAGCAACAAUUCCUUUUCGAUUAGGUACUUUACAUACUUUUAAAUUAACAAUUUAAGAUUAUGAGUUUGCAGAAAAAUAGACACAUUUUGUUCUGCAUACGUCAGAUCAACAACUUUAAAUUAUGGUCAUCCCACUUUGUCAUACAGCACUUCUUGAUAAGGAUUCUAUUGUUGCUGUUUGCAUCUCCUCCAGAUCCAUUUUUAAUUCUUUAUAUAUCCCAUUUACACCUCCUUUCGCCUUGCACCAUUAUUCCUUUUGUCAUUUAAUCUCUCCUGCCUUCCAGCUAUCACAAACCUUCCCUUUUGUUAUUAACCCAUUUCUCAGCUUCUGUAUUUGCUUAAAAUUGGUUUCUGAUUAAAGGUCAACCUGAAUUGUUAAUAUUAUUUUUCUCUCUACAAACACUAUGUGACCUGCUAAGUAUUUCCUGUAUUUCUUCGUUUUUUACUGAUUGCCAGAAUGUACAAUGUUCUGAAAAAGAAACAGAAAGUGUUGGAACUUUGCAGUAGUGUUAUGCUUUUCUAU